rnacentral:rRNA from 1 species
UACGGGGGGAGCAAGCGUUGUUCGGAUUUACUGGGCGUAAAGGGCGCGUAGGCGGCCAGCACAAGUCAGUUGUGAAAUCUCCGAGCUUAACUCGGACAGGUCAACUGAUACUGUGCGGCUAGAGUGCGGAAGGGGCAACUGGAAUUCUUGGUGUAGCGGUGAAAUGCGUAGAUAUCAAGAGGAACACCUGCGGCGAAGGCGGGUUGCUGGGCCGACACUGACGCUGAGGCGCGAAAGCCAGGGGAGCGAACGGG